rnacentral:rRNA from 1 species
GUGCCAGCCGCCGCGGUAACACCAGCGCCACGAGUGGCCAUCGCGAUUAUUGGGCCUAAAGCGUCCGUAGUCGGUUCUGUGCAUCUUCUGUGAAAUCGUUGCGCCUAACGUAACGGCAUGCGGAAGACACGGCAGAACUUGAGAGCGGGAGGCGUGUAGGGUAUUCCGGGGGGACCGGUAAAAUGGUAUAAUCCCCGGAGGACCACCUGUGGCGAAGGCGCUACACGAGAACGCAUCUGACGAUGAGGGACGAAAGCCAGGGGAGCAAACCGGAUUAGAUACCCCGGUAGUCC